rnacentral:rRNA from 1 species
UACAGAGGGUGCAAGCGUUGUUCGGAAUUAUUGGGCGUAAAGGGCGCGUAGGCGGUGCCACAAGUCACUUGUGAAAUCCCCGGGCUUAACUCGGGGCCUGCAGGCGAAACUGUGGUGCUGGAGUAUGGGAGAGGUGCGUGGAAUUCCCGGUGUAGCGGUGAAAUGCGCAGAUAUCGGGAGGAACGCCGGUGGCGAAGGCGGUUCUCUGGGCCUUACCUGACGCUGAGGAGCGAAAGCGUGGGGAGCGAACAGG